rnacentral:rRNA from 1 species
GACGAACGCUGGCGGCGUGCCUAACACAUGCAAGUCGAGCGGAGACACGGGACUUCGGUUCUGUGUUUCAGCGGCGGACGGGUGAGUAACGCGUGAGCAAUCUGUCCCAUUCACCGGGAUAACAACUGGAAACAGUUGCUAAUACCGGGCGAGACCACAGCACCGCAUGGUGGAGGGGUAGAAGGGAUACCGGAGUGGGGUGAGCUCGCGUCCCAUUAGGUAGUUGGUGAGGUAAAGGCCCACCAAGCCGACGAUGGGUAGCCGACCUGAGAGGGUGAUCGGCCACACUGGAACUGAGACACGGUCCAGACUCC